CCUACGGGCGGCAGCAGUGGGGAAUAUUGCGCAAUGGGCGAAAGCCUGACGCAGCGACGCCGCGUGAGGGAUGAAGGUCUUCGGAUCGUAAACCUCUGUCAGCAGGGAAGAACGGUCACUGUGCUAAUCAGCAGUGAAUUGACGGUACCUGCAAAGGAAGCACCGGCUAACUCCGUGCCAGCAGCCGCGGUAAUACGGAGGGUGCGAGCGUUAAUCGGAAUUACUGGGCGUAAGGCGCGCGUAGGCGGUAUGUCAAGUCAAGGGUGAAAUCCCCGCGCUCAACGUGGGAACUGCCUUUGAAACUGGCAAACUGGAGUGUAGGAGAGGAUAGUGGAAUUCCAGGUGUAGGGGUGAAAUGCGUAGAUAUCUGGAGGAACAUCAGUGGCGAAGGCGACUAUCUGGCACAUAACUGACGCUGAGGAGCGAAAGCGUGGGUAGCAAACAGGAUUAGAUACCCCUGUAGUC
rnacentral:rRNA from 1 species